UAUACAUUAUGUUAUCUAUAAUAUAUAAUUACACACACACACACACACAUAUAUAUAUAUAUGUAUAUGUAUAUAUAUUUUUUUUUCAAGGAUGGCUGGUUGACUAGAUAGCUUGGAGGCCAAGAGCAGAGAAACUGAGUCAGGUUCCCAGCACCCACAUGGUGACUCACAGCUAUCACUAACUCCAGUUUCAGGGGUUCUGAUGCCCUCUUCUGGCCUCCAUGGGAACUGCACAAACAUGGUGCACACAUGCAGACAUGCCGGCAAGCAUUGGUAGAUUGAACUUUAAGUCUUUUUAAGUAAAAGCCCCACCCGUGUAAAGGUGUUGAUUAAAUGUCAUCCUGUCUGUGAGGCCACCACGUCUACCACCUCUUCUUCUCUGUCCUCUGUCCUUCACCGCCAUGACUCCUCCUCAACAGCCCCCUCCUUUCUUCCUCCCGUACCUCAUCUUCAUUCUGGCCUCCCGUCCGCCUCCUCUUACUGCCCUUGUAAGCAGACUCAGUUGGUCAGCCUCUUCAGUCCUGUUGUCAUUGCUUCUUGGUAUGUACUUGACAGACUGAUUGGUCCUUUACCAUCGGCAGAGGCCUCACAAGCGAGAAAGAACAGGGCCAAUUGUGUGUGUGUGUGUGUGUGUGUGUGUGUGUGUGUGUGUGUGUGUAAAACUGUCUUUGCCACCUGUCAGAAUUUCACCCUGACAAACUGAAACUCUGUAUAGGAAAUUGCAAUCUCCCAUAAUUCCAUCCUCUAGAAAUUAAACUUCCUUUUCUGUGUCUUAGCUUGGUGGCUCUUGCUCCCUCAGGUAGGAGGAGUCACACAGCGUGUCCCCUCAGGUAGGAGGAGUCACACAGCUUUUCCUUUUGGAUUGAUUCAGCUCAUCAAGUAUCUCAUUUUCACUACUGCCCAUGUUUUAGCAGGAAACAUCAGCUUCCUCCCUUUUCUUUUCUUUUUUUAACAAUUUUAUUUAUUUAUUUAUUUGUUUGUUUGUUUGUUUAUUUAUUUAUUUACUUUCAAACACACCAGAAGAAGGCAUCAGAUGCCAUUGCAGAUGGUUGUGAGCCACCAUGUGGUUGCUCAAAACUGAACUCAGGACGUCUGAGAGCAGUUGGUGCUCUUAACCGCUGAGCCAUCUCUCCAGCCCAAUUCCCUCCCUUCUAAGGCUGAAUAGUAUCUUGCCAUACGAUAAGGUGACAUUUGCUUCUCAUUUAAUGUUAAUGGCCAUUGGCCUUGCCAUCAUCAUAUAUCUUUUCAGGUGACACCACCAUGAAUGUUGGCAUGUAUAUUCAAGUCCCUGCGUUCAGGUCUUUUGUGUAGGUAUAGAGGAACAAAUUUCUGUGUUGUGUGAUGGCCGAGUUUUGUGGAGAACCAUUCCCGGUGCCUUGGGCACUGAGCCUAUCACUUCCCCUUCAGCCACAGGACUCAGGGCAGAGAUCUUCCUGUAGUACAACAUUUGUUACAUUGUUCCCAUAGACUCCAUGGGCAACAUGUUUUUAUUGUUAACUCCUCAGACAUUGGUGGGAAGUGAGGCCUCACUGUGGUCUGAAUUUGCAUUUUCCUUUAUGUGUUUUGGAACAUUUGUACAAAUCUGGCAGAUGUUCCAGUCAAAUAUUUUGCCUAAUUUUAAGCAUCCGACUACCACUGUAUUGAGUUGUGAAAGUUCUUACAUAGUCUGGAUAUUAAUUCCUUGCCAAAUGAUUCUCAAAUAUUUUUUCUGUUUCCUAGAUUGCAUUUUCAUUUUGUUAACUGUGGUCUAGGUCACAUAAAAGUUUUACAUUUUUUAAACUUUAUUUCUCCCCCCCCCCUUUUUUUUUUGUUGUUGUUGCUAUUGCUUGCAAAAAAUCCAAGGCCAUGGCACGUUUUUCUUUGAAGAGAUUUAGUUUUAUCCAUUGCAUUCAGACCUCUGGACUAUUUUUUUUUUUUCCGGAGCUGGGGACCGAACCCAGGGCCUUGCGCUUCCUAGGUAAGUGCUCUACCACUGAGCUAAAUCCCCAGCCCCCUCUGGACUAUUUUGAGUGACUGUUUUACAAAUGCUGUGAGGGAAGCCAUCACCAUAGUCACUUUGUGGGGCUCCUCUUUCUUCCGCAGCUUGGGUCACUGCUGACUCCCCCUCACUGAAUUCUGUUGGUUCCCUUACUGAAAACCAUUUGACUGUAUAUGCGAGUGGAUUUCUGGGGUCCCUUCUGUUUAUCUUUGUGGAACAGACCCACCCUGGGCCAUUGCCACAGUUCUGGUGUAAGUUAUGGGUUGACAGAAUGACAACUCCUCCACUUUUGUUUGUCUCGAGUGGGUUUGAAUGUCCAGGGUCUGGUGAGAUUCCCUACAGGUUUUUAAAUGUUUUUCUAUUUCUGCAAAAUAAAUAUGUUUGGAACAUUGAUAGGAAAUCUAUAGAAUCUGUAAUCAGGACUUUCAUUGGGUUAAGACUUUAUUAAUGCUAAGCCUUCUAUGGCCACAGAGUCUACCCAUCAUGUAUCCUUUGAUUUAUUUCGGUAACGUCUUGGGGAUUUUAACAAACAACACACAGGUUCCUUGUCUUGUCAGAAGGUCUAUCCUGGGCUUUCUGCUUCUACAUCGGGUUGCUAUGUAAGUCACUUUUACUAGUCCUUGGGGUGUAUAGAAUUAACACUGAUGUUCGUGUGGUCCUUGUUACACCUUUCAAUUUAUCAAAUGAUUUACUAGCUUGAAGACUUUAACUUAUGAUACUAUUAGGAUUUUCUUCAUAAUUGAGUCAUUGCAAACAGAUACUUUUAGUUCUUUUUUUUAACCCAGAUUGAAUGUGUGUGGUCCAAGUGGCAUCGUUUCUUCUUCAUAGAAGUGACCUAUUAACCUUAAGAACAAUGCAGCUAUGGGAGAUUUUCUUUUUAGUUCUUUAAGUUAAUUAUUUAAUUAAUUAAUUAACUUUAUAUCCUAUUUGCAGCUUCCCCUCCUUCCUCUCCUCCCAGUCCCCCGACCACCAUUCUGCAGCCCUACCUCAGAAAUGGGGAGGCCUCCCACAGACAUCAGUCUGCCUUCGCAUAUCCAGUUGCAGUGGGACUAGGCACAUCUUCUGUUGUGGCUAGAGAAGGCAGCCCGGUUAGUGACUAAGGGCAGGCAACAGAGUCAGAGGCAGCUGUGGAAUUUUGAUGUUCGUGUUGGAGUUGUUUCCCCUUCUAUUCUUUUUGAGUAUGUCUGUCCUUGAAGGACUGUUGAAUUCUGUCCAGUACUUUCCUGUAGCAAUCUAGACAAGCGUAUGUCCCCCCUUCAUUCUGGCGAUGCACCAUCUGCCACAUUGACUUUGUGUUGUGGGUUGAACCACCUUCUAUUCCAGGAAUAAACCCGACUUCGGCAUGGUUUGUAAAUGUUUUUAACCUGCCCUGUAGUCUCCAUGUGGUGGCUUUGGUUUGAGGUUGGUAUCGAGUUAGACAGCAUUCAUUCUUCCUCAACAUUUAACAGAGCUGUGUUAAUUAUUUUUUUAAAAAAUAAUUUGUUUUUAAUUUCCUGUGAGUGUACUGUCUGCCUAUAGGUAGGUGUACCACAUGUGUGGCCAAUGCCUGUGGAGGUCAGAAAGAGGGCAUCAACUCCUCUGGAGUUACAAAUGGCUAUGAGUUCCCGCGGGGUUGCUGGGAACUGAGCCCAGGUCCCCUGAUGGUCAGCGCUCAACCUCUGAGCCUCUGUUCCACGCCCACAGUGCUUCUUCAGUGUUUAACACAGUUUACAGGUGACGGCUUUGGCUCCAACUUUUUCCUCUUAGGAGGCUGUGAUUCUCGACUCUGUAUUAGCACUGGCUAUAGAUCUUUGCAGAUUUUCUCCCUUUUCAUGAUUUCCUCCUGCUUGGUAGAUUGUACACUUCUAGGCCUUUGACCAUCUCACAGGCUCUCGGAACGGUUAGGAAAUAGUUGCUGACAGCUCGCCUGUGCUGGCCCGUCUUGUGCUGACUUGGAAGGCAACAUGGGGAGCCAUGCGGGGAACGGAGGCCUGGCUUGUGAAGGCUCAGAGGGAAGUCUGAGGACUCCCUUUGCUGUUUUGAAUUAAGGUUCCGUGGUUCUGGUCAGCUGGGGCUGAAGAAUCAGCUGUGAUUAAGAUACCAGAACUACUGGAGGGAAACCUUUAUUUGGCUGGGAUACUUGGUGCUGGCCAGCUGAGCCAAGGAUUUAGCACUGAUUAAAAAGAGAUCUGUAUCACUGAGGCAAAAUCUCCUGGGAAGUGUUUCUUAAGAGUCAACACACAGAAGCUGUGUUUCAGAGGUGGUCAAGGUUGCACCUCACACUGGCAGCAGAACUUGGUAGUGUAAGAGUCACCCAGGUGAUUCUGGUUUUGCAGGCACGAAGGAGUCGUGGAGAGCGGCUGAGGCACUUCGAGAGAGGCCAGGGGAGGCCCUUGGUGAAGGUGCAGCCCCAGCGGCAGUUGAAGGCCGAGUAAUGGAGGGGUCAUGAGGAGAACUUGGUGUUUGAUACCAUGCUAAGAGCCCAUGAGAGGCUAUUUGUGGAAGUGCAGGCCAGUUACAGAAGACCCCAGCGACUGCUGGAGAUACCAGUACCAUGGGGUGACCACCAAGAGCAGCAGCAGCAGUGGAAUGGGGCCACCUGGAACCUAGAAGACAAGCUGUGUGUGCGACAGAGGGCAGAACAUUGGAAGUGACCCUUGGAGGAGCCCAGAAAAUCCUGUCGAUACUGGGACUCCAGAUGUGUGCCACCCUGCCCUGCCUUUACAAGGGAAUUUGAGACUUAGACGUGGACCUUCCUCAUACUUCCCUGGCAAACGUUCUUCUGAAAGUCACACUCCAAAUAGAGAAGAACAAGUUUAACCUACGAUUUCAACAUCUGGGGAGGAAUUUGAAUUUCUUAUUGAGCCUCCCCAUGAUUCCUGGGGCCUGUGCACAAGAGGACGCAUUAUAGUGUGCGCUAAGAGUGGUGUCUCGCAAGGCCCUGGGUUCAGUCCCCAGCUCCGAAAAAAAGAACAAAAAAAAAAAAAAAAGAGUGGUGUCUCGCUCUCCAAACUCAGGACUCAUGAGCUUGCUCCUGGCCGGUAUCACUUCUGAAAUCACGAUAAUGAAUCGUGGCUUUUUAACUGCUGUGCAGAUGCAUUUGUUCAGCUGCAACUUACUCUUGCCCAUCUACAUUUUCACUCCUCUGGUUUUGGUCUCUUCCCUGCCACACGGGAGAUCAUCAAUAUGUUCCAAAAUUUCCCGCAACUCUAAUGACUGUCACUAUAGUUAGAGUGACUGGGAAAGGAGGAGAUGGUUACAGAACUAGAACCAGAUUGUGCUUGACAGGCUCUGUAUGGGGAUUUUCACAGGACACACUUCUAGAAGGCCAGGGAACCCGCAGAGAGUUGACACAAAGAAAGUUGACAGCAGUUUAACAGAGAGUUAAAAAGUAAUAUGUGGUGGGCUGGAGAGAUGGCUCAGUGGUUAAGAACACUGACUGCUCUUCCAGAGGUCCUGAGUUCAAUUCCUAGCAACCACAUGGUGGCUCACGACCAUCUGCAAUGGGAUCUGGUACCCUCUUCUGGUGUAUAGGUGUAUGUGCAGGCAGAAUGCUGUGCAUACAUAACACACCUUUUUAAAACAUUAAUAGUAAUUGGAUAAUUGGAUUAUGUCUUUUUUUAAAGUGAUGUGUGUCAUCAAAGGAAAACACCAAGCUCUGAUCUCUAUUAAACAAAGAAGGAGCCAGGAGGGUAGAAGGGCAACCUCAGGCUCACACCUGCAAGGUCAAUGCUAGUUAUAAUUCAAGUGAUUACGGGAUGAAAUACUUGGAAUUAGCUGAACGGGAAUUAGAAUAAGAUAAUCGGACAUGAGUAGAGGGGGCAAGGAAAGGGUUCGCAGGGAACAGCACAGCGAAUAACGAGCGGAAACUGUUCAUCAAGAAGUCGAAUUCUGAUAAACACUGCAGGGGUGAGGGUCUAGUCAAUGCGACUGCAGAUGCUCACUGCACAGCAGAUUCUGGUUAUUUGCGACUGGCAGAUAAACUGGAGGAAGCAGAGGGGUAAAAAUUGAAACACCAAGCACAUACGAGGAGAGUUGCCAUGGAUACACGACGAGAGCACCACACUUUCAACCUCGGGAUUCCUAAUAAUUAAAAUCUCAAGCGACAUGCAAAUGGGGAGGAAAAUAAGAGGUUUGCAGCACCGCGAUGCAUUUCUCAACGCUGCACACAAGCCAAGGUCACCGCAGGUAAACCACACAUUAAGCAAAGCAUCAUGGAGCCCGGAGAAGAAAAUGAAUUGAGGAUGACCUAUGGCCUGGAGUUAGGGAAGAAGUCUCAACUCACAGAGACUGAAAUGGGACAGGGUAAAACUAACAAGUUCUACGCGCCAAACGAAACUCAAGGAGAAUGUGAGGCACCAAGGCAGGGAGAGUGAGGCAGUGCUGACGAAGCCUGGGGACACAGUAGAAGGAAGAUACUCCUGUAGAGGAAUGAGAAAAAAGAUCAAUAAAUGAACCGAUGAGCACCUUGGCCAAAAAUGUAGCAAAACAAAACAAACAAACAAAAAACCCCAAAGAACAAACAAACAAAAAAAGAAUAAACAAACAAACCAAACAAACAACAAACAGAAAAAUCCCAACCCAACCAACAAAAUGAAAAC